rnacentral:rRNA from 1 species
UACGGAGGAUGCUAGCGUUAUCCGGAUUUAUUGGGUUUAAAGGGUGCGUAGGCGGAUUAAUAAGUCAGUGGUGAAAUUCUGCAGCUUAACUGUGGCAUUGCCGUUGAUACUGUUAGUCUUGAGUAUGGUCAAGGUAGGCGGAAUGUGUAAUGUAGCGGUGAAAUGCUUAGAUAUUACACAGAACACCGAUUGCGAAGGCAGCUUACCGGGCCGUUACUGACGCUGAUGCACGAAAGCGUGGGGAUCGAACAGG